ensembl:lncRNA
UGUGUGCAGCCAGACAUCAUGGCAGACUGCCAAAACUGAUUCCUAAGAAAAGGGGAGACCGUUGUGUGUCGUCAUAGUUUUACACCUGUUGAUCCACUUUCUGUGAGCCACACCUAGAACCUUCAAAUCCCUGCAGAUUUGUCAGCUGAUCAUGGCCUGUCCUGUGACUGGCUGAGCUUCAUGCUUGGAAAAGUUCUUUCACACUGUUCAUCCUGGAGCUGCUUUAUGUCCAUGAUCUGAAUGGAAACACAUCUGCAUCAUUGUAGCUACAGUGGAUGUUUCAGUGUCAGGACUGAAGGUGGAGCUUUGUGCGUGUUGGGCUGAGGCUGAAGCAGUCGCCCCCAACGGUAGCGCUCAGGUGUGAAACUACGAGGAAACUGAACAUACUCCUCUUUCCUCAGAAGUGAUCUAUGCGCGUCUGGACUUGUUUCCACUGAUCUGGUUUAACAAGGUGUGAAGCUGACCUCUGAGAUGUGACAGUGUGAGCAGUGUGAGAGUGUCAGCAGAUGAUCAGCAGAGGAAAGUGAGAGCUGCUGUGAGCUGAUGUCCUGAAGGGCUUUUAAAGAGCCUCUGAGUUUGACAGGAACAUGAAGAUGUUUGUGGUGUUUGUGAUCCUCCUGCACGGUAAGUACACUGCUCUGGCUGUGGUGGUGGAGGUGAAUGAGGGGGAAAGGUCUGUCCUGCUGUCCUGUCUAUACCCAGAUUAUAUACUUGAGGACAAUUCAACAGUGAUGUGGACUCGCAGUGACCUCAAUCCCAAAUCUGUCCACAUACGACGAGAAAUAGGAGACAAUCUUAGAGGACAAAACCAGCGUUACAGCAGACGCACAUCAAUGAAUCGUUACGCUUUCAUCAUUAAAGACUUCAGCCUCACUCUGAGGAAACCCACAACGACUGACAGCGGCGACUACACCUGCUCCAUCAGUGCUGGAGGAAAAGAACGGAGACUCAGAGACAUCCAGCUGCAGGUCAAAGAACAGCAAGUGGAGGUGAAGGUGGAGAAAGGGGUACAGUCUGUCAUCCUGCCCUGCAAAACAACACCUGACCUGCCUGAGGGCACCACAGUGGAGUGGACUCGCUCUGACCUCGGACUCAUCACAGUCCAUGAGUAUUCUAACAGAAAUGAUGAGCUCAUGACUCAGGAUGAAGUUUACAGAGACCGAACGAAGAUGAAUGAAGACCUGCUGAGAACUGGAGACCUCAGUCUGACCCUGAAACAGCCCACAGUGAGAGACACAGGAGGAUACAUCUGCACCAUCUACAGGGACAAAGACAUCCUGAGACAGAAAGUUGUACUGCAGGUCAAAAAACCAUUUCCAUCCUGGUUCAAAGAUCUUCUGGUUCUCCUGUUUGUCUUUGUGAUUUUUGGAGGUCUUUUAUAUUAUUUACGUCACUAUUACAUGUCAGAUUACCAGGUGGAGGUGGAUUCAGGGGUGGAGUCUGUAAAGCUGCCCUGCAAAACUAUAUUUAAAUUCCUAAAACACACUAAAGUGGAGUGGAGGGACAGAAACAACAGGAAGGUCCACGUGUAUCACAAUGGCUCUGACCAGGUUAGAGAACAGCACCGGUUUUACAGAAACCGAACAGAGAUGAAGAGGAAUUUACUGAAACCUGGAGACCUCAGUCUGACCCUGACGUAUCCCACUGAUGAUGACAACUCCACCUACACCUGCACCGUCUACAGCAGGAAGGGAAACAUACUGGCAACGAAAAAUGUGCAGCUCCAUGUCAGAGUCCCCCAGGUGGAGGUGGAUUCAGGGGAGGCAUCUGUCCUGCUGCCCUGCAAAACUACUAUAAACCUGCCUAAAGAUGCUAAAGUGGAGUGGAUGACCAAAUUCAACAGGAAGGUCCACGUGUAUGAGACCGGAUCUGACCAGCUUGAAGAUCAGGACAACUAUUACAGAGACCGAACACUGAUGAAUAAAGACCUGCUGAAAACUGGAGACCUCAGUCUGACCCUGAAAUACCCCACAGACUGGGACACAGACAUCUACACCUGCACCGUCUACAGCAGGGAGGGAAAAAAAAUCCUGAUGAAACAAGUGGAGCUGAAAGUCAGAGUCUGUCAGGUGGAGGUGGAGGAGGGGGCGGAGUCUGUAGAGCUACCUUUCAAAACCACACAAGACCUGCCUGCAGAUGCUAAAGUGGUGUGGUGGAACAAUGAUGACAGGAAGGUCCACAUGUAUAAGAACGGCUCUGAUCAGCCUGGAGAACAGCACCAGGUUUACAGAGACCGAACAAAGAUGAAGAGAAGAUCUCUGCUGAAGUCUGGAGACCUCAGUCUGACCCUGAAACAGCCCACAGAGAGAGACAGUGGGAGGUACAGCUGUAGAGUCUACGGGGAGAUCAAGAGAUACAAAAGAGUGCUGCUCAGAGUCAAAGGGAGAGUUCAGGUCCAGUAUCACACAGCAGACAUCAGGAACAGAAGCAGCUCCAUUGAUCUGACUCCUCUGAUGACUGAUCAAUCAGUUUGAUCU